AGCAGAGCCCAACGCUCACCGCUUUGCCUUCUAUGGGGCAACGUGUUCGGCACCCAGAAGUCCCCGCCCUGCUCCAGCCUGAGAAAAUCUGAAUUGCAUGCAGAGCUGCUCACGCCUAUAGGAUGUGGCCUCCUGGCAGUGUCCCCAUGCCCUCAGCAAGGGACCAGGUGAUGAGCCAUCUCUCCCAUCCCCACAUGGAUCUGGGAGUUGCCUCCAGACUGUGAGUAAGGAACAGCCUCGUGUCUCCAGGACUGUUUGCUGUGCCAGGGGUCCUGGGCUGCAUGCUUGCCCCAAGCACAGUGCAGGUGGCACUGGCAGCACAUGGGGGGUGGCUGCUGAGAGGGCAUCCCGAUGGCACUGCAGCACAGGGAUGGGCCCCCAUGCACCACUCAGCCCCACGCCAGGCCCUGCUCUGUCCCCCAGGGAGGCUGAAGGACACUUUGGGCUGAUGGCUUCAUUCUGGGUGUGGGUCCUAGUGAGGAUGGCUGCCCAGCGAUGCACAAAGCCUCUGGAAUUCACCACUGGUGUUUCCUUGUUCUGCCAGCAGCCAGGACGGCCGGAUUGCUGUCCCCUGAGUCACUCCCUGAUAACCAUUUAUUAAUCACAAAGCUUCACGGAUGAAACACUGCUGCUCCUGUUUGCCCCCAGCCCAGUGGGGGGCGGCACAUGGCAUCGCCGUGACUCACAGCAGGAGCAGCGCCGGUGCUCUGGUGGGCACAAGGCUGCACCGGGAUCCGGCCCUAUAUGGAACAUGGGACAGCAGUGGAAACGAUGAUGAGCAAAUGUAUGUGGCUGCAGCUUCCAUGGAAAAGCACUCAGGGUGCCCGGUCAGCGGGCUGUGCUGCAGAGCAGCGUGCUGCCAGCAGAGCCAGCAGGGAUGUGCUGUGAUGCUGGAACACAACAGAGAACCAAAGAGCAUUCAUGCCCGCUCCUGUCAGCUACCAGGAAAAGAAAAAAAGAAGAGAAGGUCACCAGGCUGUAGAACUAUGAAGAGAUGGAUGGGGAGGCAGGAGCUGCUGGGGGUGCAUCACUCGUUGCUCAGGUGUGGAUAUCCACACUCAUUCCCCACAGCGCUCAGCAGUGGGGAGCAGAGAGCAGUGCCCACGGCUUGAGCACCGCGCUGCUGCAGCGAGAAGAAAAGGCACGGAGGAGAUUUUCCUGGAGGAGGGGGGGAAAAAAGGGAGAGGGAGGCCGCCUGUCUGAGCGCAUCACUGCCUGGCACCUGUGUCCCGGGGCAGGCGGCCAAGCGCUGGGAGCAGGCAUGGUGCCACGGCAGCAGAUGGGCACAGAGCAGGCAGCUCUCGGCCUGGGGAGGGGGUGGCUGCUGAGGGCAGAUUUCCCAGCUGAGAAUGUCCAAACAGCUGCCAGUCUGGAGUGUGUACACCUAUAAUUAAGGGGGUAUGCGAUUUCUAAUCCAGCUCAAACGGAGCUGGAUUAAUUGGCAAACCUAAAAAUAGCACCCAUGACCAUGUAUGGCAAGCUUUUGUGUGCAGUUUAAAUUAGGAAAGCGAGCUCUGUUCAAAGCAAGCUGGGAGAGACAGAGGCAUCGCUCUGCAGUGGGACAGCCUGCAAGUGACAGCAGGAGCCCACAGCACAGCCGUGAUCCCACGGCCCCAGGAGCACAGGGGGCAGCACUCAUACCCCAGGAACUUCGCUUAUGGGGGAGUACGAGGUGCCCCCCAUAGAGACCAGCUCUUGGCUGGGCCCCCCAGUGUGCCUGUCCCAAAGGCUCCUCAGACCCUCCCCCUUUCCCAGACAGACCCCAGCGGCAGACAAACCCUGCUGACUGUGCUCCACCACCGCUGCCUUCCUCAAACGCCUCGCAGCCAGACUGCAAGGUUAAAUUGCUUUUAAUUUUUGUUUAAUUAUCUGCAGUGGUACAAAUAACUAACAGUAUCGAUCUGAACUUGGCACACAAAGGCAGGUUUCAAAUGGCAAAGCAUAUUAUGGGAUCGAAUUAUUAAAUGUAGCUAAUGAGCAAAAUAAUGAUGCGGUGCCAAGCUGUAAGAGGUUAGACUUUAAAGUUGUCACAGUUCAUAAGCAAGAAAGAUUCAAUCAUAUUCUUAAUCAAAUAUUUAUAUGAUAAUGUGCCUUAAUCAAAAUAACAACAAU
ensembl:lncRNA